GGGUUUUGCAAUCCUCUUUUCCUUUUAUCUAUAGUGAAUGUAGCAUUUUUCAAAAGCUGUUCUUUUAUUGUUUUUCGCUUUUCUCUUUCUUUCUUUUCAUGUUGUUGUUGUUUUUCUUUCUUUUUUUUCUUUUUCUCUUCCUUUUUUUUUCUUCUUUUUUUUUCUUUUUUUUUUCUUUUUCUUUUAUACGACAUUCACUUACUAUUCACGUACUGCAAAGCUACCCCAAACUUAAAGGUUGCUAUUCCAAUAGCAACCCCAAACUUAGAUAGAAACGUAGAGAUGAAAUCAAUU
rnacentral:lncRNA from 1 species